AGAGACAGCAGUAGCCGCGGGAAUACGAAGGGGGCUAGCGUUGCUCGGAAUCACUGGGCGUAAAGGGUGCGUAGGCGGGUCUUUAAGUCAGGGGUGAAAUCCUGGAGCUCAACUCCGGAACUGCCUUUGAUACUGAAGAUCUUGAGUUCGGGAGAGGUGAGUGGAACUGCGAGUGUAGAGGUGAAAUUCGUAGAUAUUCGCAAGAACACCAGUGGCGAAGGCGGCUCACUGGCCCGAUACCGACGCUGAGGCACGAAAGCGUGGGGAGCAAACAGGAUUAGAUACCCCAGUAGUCCCUGUCUCUUAUAC
rnacentral:rRNA from 1 species